rnacentral:rRNA from 1 species
GAUCUCCAGCUUGCUGGGGGGAUUAGUGGCGAACGGGUGAGUAACACGUGAGUAACCUGCCCUUGACUCUGGGAUAAGCCUGGGAAACUGGGUCUAAUACUGGAUACGACUCUUCACCGCAUGGUGGGGGGUGGAAAGCUUUUGUGGUUUUGGAUGGACUCGCGGCCUAUCAGCUUGUUGGUGGGGUAAUGGCCUACCAAGGCGACGACGGGUAGCCGGCCUGAGAGGGUGGACGGCCACACUGGGACUGAGACACGGCCCAGACUCCUACGGGAGGCAGCAGUGGGGAAUAUUGCACAAUGGGCGCAAGCCUGAUGCAGCGACGCCGCGUGAGGGAUGAAGGCCUUCGGGUUGUAAACCUCUUUCAGUAGGGAAGAAGCGAAAGUGACGGUACCUGCAGAAGAAGCGCCGGCUAACUACGUGCCAGCAGCCGCGGUAAUACGUAGGGCGCAAGCGUUAUCCGGAAUUAUUGGGCGUAAAGAGCUCGUAGGCGGUUUGUCGCGUCUGCCGUGAAAGUCCGGGGCUUAACUCCGGAUCUGCGGUGGGUACGGGCAGACUUGAGUGAUGUAGGGGAGACUGGAAUUCCUGGUGUAGCGGUGAAAUGCGCAGAUAUCAGGAGGAACACCGAUGGCGAAGGCAGGUCUCUGGGCAUUAACUGACGCUGAGGAGCGAA